AGGACGAACGCUGGCGGCGUGCUUAACACAUGCAAGUCGAACGGUAAGGCCCUUCGGGGUACACGAGUGGCGAACGGGUGAGUAACACGUGGGUGAUCUGCCCUGCACUUCGGGAUAAGCCCGGGAAACUGGGUCUAAUACCGGAUAGUACUGCGCGGUGCAUGCCGUGUGGUGGAAAGAUUUAUCGGUGCAGGAUGGGCCCGCGGCCUAUCAGCUUGUUGGUGGGGUAAUGGCCUACCAAGGCGACGACGGGUAGCCGGCCUGAGAGGGCGACCGGCCACACUGGGACUGAGACACGGCCCAGACUCCUACGGGAGGCAGCAGUGGGGAAUAUUGCACAAUGGGCGCAAGCCUGAUGCAGCGACGCCGCGUGAGGGAUGACGGCCUUCGGGUUGUAAACCUCUUUCAGCAGGGACGAAGCGCAAGUGACGGUACCUGCAGAAGAAGCACCGGCCAACUACGUGCCAGCAGCCGCGGUAAUACGUAGGGUGCAAGCGUUGUCCGGAAUUACUGGGCGUAAAGAGCUCGUAGGCGGUUUGUCGCGUCGUCUGUGAAAACCAGCAGCUCAACUGUUGGCUUGCAGGCGAUACGGGCAGACUUGAGUAUUUCAGGGGAGACUGGAAUUCCUGGUGUAGCGGUGAAAUGCGCAGAUAUCAGGAGGAACACCGGUGGCGAAGGCGGGUCUCUGGGAAAUAACUGACGCUGAGGAGCGAAAGCGUGGGUAGCGAACAGGAUUAGAUACCCUGGUAGUCCACGCCG
rnacentral:rRNA from 1 species